rnacentral:lncRNA from 1 species
CUUUUGGCUAAGAUCAAGUGUAGUAUCUGUUCUUAUCAGUUUAAUAUCUGAUACGUGAGCCAUUGGCUCACAUGAUAUUAAAUUAAUUUAUUUAGGGGAAGGGCCCACCACAGUAGCUUGCUAUUGGGGCUCUCGAGCGUUGCACUACUGCAUGGGCGUGGUGCAUCCCAUCAAAUUUAGUUCCAACAUUUUAUUAUCUUUAAACUCAAGUUUGUGUUGUAAUAGCAUUUCCACUCAUGACAAAGGGCAGUUAUUAUUCAUUGUAAUAUAUAUAUAUAUAUAUAUUUUAUACUUGAAUGAUUCAUUUAGAUAAGAUUUUCAGUUUCCACAUGUCAAUAUUUAUUAUAAAAUUCAUAUCUCAUAUUUCGGAUAAAAUUUUCAGUUGCUAUGUGUCCAUAUUUAUUAUAAAAUUAAUAUCUCAAAUUUCAUAAAAGAUUUUCAGUUGCCACGUGUUGAUAUUUAUUAUAAAAUUCAAAUAUCAUAUUUCAUAUAAGAUUUUUAUUUUCUAAAAUUGCGCCACGUGUCAUAUCUAUCAUCUAAAUCACUUUAUAAAACCGCAGUCUCAACUCAGACCUCUCACACCACAUCAUCUCUAUCCUUUCAUUUCUCAUAUUUUAGAAAACACAUUCUACUCUCAAUGUCUUACACGAGGAGGUUGUUGGAGAGGCAAGAGUGAGAAAAUGAAGAAAGAAUGCGCAAACGAGCUGAAGAAGAAAGGGAGUGGG